AGAACGAACGCUGGCGGCAUGCCUAACACAUGCAAGUCGAACGAGACCUUCGGGUCUAGUGGCGCACGGGUGCGUAACGCGUGGGAAUCUGCCCUUAGGUACGGAAUAACAGUGAGAAAUUACUGCUAAUACCGUAUGAUGUCUUCGGACCAAAGAUUUAUCGCCUAGGGAUGAGCCCGCGUUGGAUUAGCUAGUUGGUGGGGUAAAGGCCUACCAAGGCGACGAUCCAUAGCUGGUCUGAGAGGAUGAUCAGCCACACUGGGACUGAGACACGGCCCAGACUCCUACGGGAGGCAGCAGUGGGGAAUAUUGGACAAUGGGCGAAAGCCUGAUCCAGCAAUGCCGCGUGAGUGAAGAAGGCCUUCGGGUUGUAAAGCUCUUUUACCCGGGAAGAUAAUGACUGUACCGGGAGAAUAAGCCCGGCUAACUCCGCGCCAGCAGCCGC
rnacentral:rRNA from 1 species